UAAAAAAAAACAAAACACUCGGUCUCCCUCACUCUUUCCGAUAGCUCCCUCUCUUUCGUUUCAAUUCACGAAAACUCUCGGUCUCCCUCUCUUUGAUUACUAUAUCUUUCUGUUUCUCUCCAUCGAUCUCUCUCUUGUUCAAUCAACAACAACCUUCAGUUUCCCUAUGUUCUCAUCGUUCUCCAUGAUUCAAACAGCAAAAACCAGAAACAUUCUCAUGUCAUCAAAACCCUAGAGUUUCAAAAUUAGAUUAAAUAGCAAUGGAGUGCAAGUUCAAUCGAAUAUCAUGGGGGCUAUUACCGAUCAAGUCUCGAUGAACACAGUGGUAUUUUAAAAAAAAGCGAAGAAGGAGAUCUUACACGGUCGGAGCUUGUCCGGCGAGACUUCCUUUUCCGGCGGUGGUUCAGUAACUCGGGUCUGGUUCAUUGCAGGUGAGGUGAUGAAGCAGAUGAGUUCAAUGGCUCAUUGUUCAAUUAAUUGAUGCUGCAGCUUUUUGAAUUGGUUUGUUGGUUGUGGCUGCUAUGGUGCUAUUUGUGUAUGAAGAUUUUCUACAUUUGGGAAAGGCUCUACAGAGAGUAUGAUCUCUCCUUGGUGCAGGGUAUGUUUGAAGGGAGUUUUGGAGAGUUUUUAUUGUGAAAUUCUGUGAAGACUCAACAGAAAAUCAAGGAAAGUUUUUUUUGUGUUUCCUCCCCCCUCUGCUUGAUUCUUGUUGCCCUUUUAUAGAAGAAUAGUGGGUGAACCUUGGGCUAAAAACUGAAGGGUAAAAACAAACUUAACUCCUAAGUUAAGUUGACUUAGUGCUGAUUUUCUCCUUUUUUUUUUCUUCUCUUUUUCUGCUAUGCUGUACCAAGUAGACAACAAUUAACUUAUCCUUUCUUUUGGUUUUGCAGGCAGCCCUUUGAUUAAAGCAAGUCUUGCUUUAUGAGCAAGUUUUAUGGUACAGAUUUUCCCUUCCAACGGCAGGAUAUUUAAAGGCAUAUGGUGUGGAAAACAAGAAGCAGUUCUUUUGCUUAGCUAAGUGAUUGUAUCUGUGGAUUCAACACUUUUGAUUCGUGAAGGGUGAUUACUACUUGGUGUUGUUUUGUUGUCCUUUCUUGUUUUUGUUUAGAGAAUAUGGCUACUUGCUUUGAGAUUUGGAUUGAAGUACUCUUAGUUGGAAUGCAAGCGUCUACAAAUUUGACUAUGCAAAUGACCUCUAUUUUUUAGUACACUAAAUGCCCUCUAUAUAUGUUAUAUAAUGUGUAAACAAGUGAAUUUGAUUUAAAAUGUUAUUUGGUAUUGAUGGAUCAUAAUAUGUAUGCAAUGAGUAACUUAAAGUGGUAUUUGGUAUUGAAUUGAAUGUAGCUUUUGGAUAUUUGCACACUAAAAGAAUGAUUUUGUGUAAAAAAAAAUAAAAAUAAAAAUGUACUACAAUAGCAUUUUUUAAAGAGUGUUAUUGAUGAAACAUCCUAUAAUAGCACUUUUAAGAGAAAGCGCUAUCAAACAUGUUUCAUAUAUUAGCGCUUUCAUUGAAAAUGCUAUCAAAUAUGUGCCAU